rnacentral:rRNA from 1 species
AUUGAACGCUGGCGGCAUGCCUUACACAUGCAAGUCGAACGGUAACACGUCUUCGGCUGCUUACUAGGGGCGGACGGGGGAGUAAUACAUCGGAACGUGCCCGAUCGUGGUUUAUAACGGGGCGAAAGCUUUGCUAAUACCCCAUACGAUCUACGGCUGAAUACGGGGGACAGCAGGGGAUUUCCCGGCCUUGGCGGCCGAUGUGAGAUUAGGUAGUUUGUGGGAUAUAAGCUUACCAAGGCGACGAUCUGUAGCUGGUCUGAGAGGACGACCAGCCACACUGGGACUGAGACACGGCCCAGACUCCUACGGGAGGCAGCAGUGGGGAAUUUUGGACAAUGGGCGAAAGCCUGAUCCAGCCAUGCCGCGUGGAGGAAGAAGGCCUUCGGGUUGUAAACUGCUUUUGUACGGAAAGAAAAGAAUCUUUCUAAUAAAGAGGGUCUAUGACGGUACCGUAAGAAUAAGCACCGGCUAACUACGUG